GGCAUACGAGAUACGCUGGAGUUCAGACGUGUGCUCUUCCGAUCUGGAAAACCCACUGAACUGAAGCAUCUCAAUAAGUGGAGGAAAAUAAACUAACUAGGAUACUCUUAGUAAGUGCGACCGAAGAGAGUAAAGCUCAAUAAUCUAAACUUUAAAUUUUUAUAAUUUAAAGUCAUGUGAUUUUCUAAACUCAUUGAAAUUUUUAUAAAUUAUGAUUGAAUUCAUAACUAUAAAGAGUUAUAGUCUCGUUAUAUUGAAAUUUCAAGCAUGGGAAUUAGAAUUAAAGAGUCGGGUAGCUUGAGAAUGCUGCCUUAAUAUAGGUGGUACACCCCAUCUAAAGCUAAAUAUUGUAAAGAGACCGAUAGCAUACAAGUAGUGUGAACGAAAGAUGAAAAGAACUCCUAAACGGAGAAUUAAAAGCGCCUGAACUUGUCUAGGUUUUCGCAUUUCUUUAAUGCGCCCGUCUUGAAACACGGAUUAGGGAGUUUUACUUAAAUACGAGUCUUUAACUUUUAAAGUAAUUUUUUUAAAAAAGGCGAAAAGAAAUUAACUGGUUUUUUAACAUGGCUAUAGAGUAUUUAAGUCAAAACCCGAAUGGAGGUGAACUAUUCCUGCAAAGAUUGAAGUCAGGGGAAACUCUGAUGGAAGAUCGUUGGCGUUAUUGAUGUGCAAAUCAUUUGCUUUAUGUAGGUAUAGGUGCGAAAGACUCAUCGAACCUCCUAAUAGCUGGUUUCCUCCGAAGUUUCCCUCAGGAUAGCUGUAACAUUUUUAAAUAGUUAAGGAUAGUAGAGAAAUGGGUAGAGGUGUAGUGGAACUACGGUUCUGCAACUUAUUUCCAAACUUCGAACGUUCUUGAUAUAAAAAAUUACCUAAUAGGAAUUUUUUAUUUAAAUAUAUGUUAUAAGUGGGCUCUGACCGGUAAGCGGUCAUGGCGAAAAGGGAUGAACCUAACGUAUAAAUAAGGUGCCUAAAUUUACUAACAAUGAAACCAUUAAAAGAGUCCAUGUAUUUAGACAGCGGGUCGGUGCCCCUAAAAGCAGGUAUCCGUUAAUGAGUGUGUUAAAACUCCCCCGCCGAAUACUCUGGCCUUGAAAAUGAAUGGCGCAUAUAGUAAUACCGAUAUUAUACAUUAAAAUUAUUUCAAAAUUUUAAAAGUAGGGGGAUGUGGAUAUCUUAGAGAAUUUUUAAUUGUAAAAUUGAAUUGAAAGAUAUCUAUUACAGAUCCUAAUUGAAGUAGCGAUUAUCCAGGUUAAUCUCCUGGGGGCUGAUGAGGAGUAGGGUUUCUGGGCAACUUAAACGGACCCAGAGUUAGUCGAUCCUAAUCAAAUUAAAUUUAGAGAAAGGGAAUAUGAAUGAUAUUUCAUAACUAAAAUUAAUUUUUAAAUGGUGACAUUUUUUUAAACUUAUUUCCAUCAAUUAAAUACUGUUUAAUAGGGAUUUCUUUCCUAUAUAACUUUUUAAUUAAAACUUAAGAAACAGGUUAACUGGAGAAUAAAGUUUUAAUUUAGUAAAAUUAUAAUUUCGAUUAUAAUAACGGCUAUUUAAAUGAUCCAUGAAACGAUAAGUUUAUUUUUUCAAAAAUUAAUUUAAUCGUACCGAUAACCGCAUCAGGUCUCCAAGGUGAGUAGCUUCUGGCCAUUGAGUAAUGGUAAUUUAGGGAAUUCGGCCAAUUAGAGCUGUAACUUCGGGAUAAAGCUUGGCUCUGAUGGAAAUCAGAACCGAUAGUUACAAGGAGAGCCCAACUGUUUAAUAAAAACUUAGUGUCGCGUCAUACCUUUAUAAGUAAUAAACGUGACAUGAAUCCUGCUCAGUGCUGUGUUUGUUAAACUGGAUUAAUCCAUUUAAGCGCCGGUAAAUAGCUGGGGUAACUAUGACUCUUAUCAAAGUAGCGAAAUACCUCGUCACUUAAUUAGUGACCUGCAUGAACGGAGCUAUGAGGUUCUCACUGUCCCAAAUUAUCACUCAGCGAACCAACAGUUGUGGGAACGGGCACAAAUUAUCCAGCGGGGAAAGAAGACCCUGUAGAGCUUCACUUUGGUCUAAUCUUGUAUAGUUUCGUUAGGGGUGCAGUCUAGGUGGGAGAUUUUUAAUCAAAUAUGAGAAACCACUACCCUUUCUGGAAUUAUACUUACUAAAAUUCUUUUCUAAAUUUUAGGAUCGGAUUAGAUAGAAAGUUUGGCUGGGGCGGCACACCUUCGAAAAAGCAGCGAAGGUGUCCUAAGUUAAGCUCAGUAAGGACAGAAAUCUUACGUUGAGGAUAAGGCCAAAAGCUUAAUUUACUGUGCCUUUUUGUACUAGGAUCAGUUUGGAAACAAAGGCCUAACGAUCCCUAAUUAGUCUUAGGUGUGUAAGACUUGGGGUGACAGACAAGUUACCUCCGGGACAACUGGCUUGUGGCUGCUAAGAGAUCAAAUCAACGCAGCUUUUUGAUUCUUCGAUGGCGGAGAUCGGAAGAGCGUCG
rnacentral:rRNA from 1 species